UCAAUUAGGUUAUGCCCAAUCGGCUCGGGUCGAACCCGAUUGAAUUAGGUCAAACCCUAAUUUAGCCCAAAUUGAAUCUAAUUCAAUUUGGCUUAAUUAAAGUCCAAUAAUUUAAUCAAAUUGAAUUUAUUAGUAAUCCAAUUACUAAUUAAUCCUUCAAUAAUUCAAUAAUUAUUUUAAUGCAACUUUUGCUUAGGAUAAUUGGUCAAUCGAAUUGACCAAAUUACCCCUGAAUGAU
rnacentral:lncRNA from 1 species